AGAUUGAACGCUGGCGGCAUGCCUUACACAUGCAAGUCGAACGGCAGCACGGGAGCAAUCCUGGUGGCGAGUGGCGAACGGGUGAGUAAUACAUCGGAACGUGCCCAAUCGUGGGGGAUAACGCAGCGAAAGCUGUGCUAAUACCGCAUAAGAUCUACGGAUGAAAGCAGGGGAUCGCAAGACCUUGCGCGAAUGGAGCGGCCGAUGGCAGAUUAGGUAGUUGGUGAGGUAAAGGCUCACCAAGCCUUCGAUCUGUAGCUGGUCUGAGAGGACGACCAGCCACACUGGGACUGAGACACGGCCCAGACUCCCACGGGAGGCAGCAGUGGGGAAUUUUGGACAGUGGGAGAAGCCUAGAUCCAGCCAUGCCGCGUGCUAGGAUGAAGCCGUUCGGUUAGUAACUGUCUUUUGUACGGAAGAAAGUCUACUUU
rnacentral:rRNA from 1 species